GAAGCUUGUCCUCUUUUGGUCACUUUUCCCCCAAAUAUCAAAGAAACCCUAACCCUAGCCGCUGGCUUGAAAGCAGAGAAGAAUGGCGGAGCACUUGGCGUCCAUAUUCGGUACGGAAAAAGAUCGAGUCAACUGUCCUUUCUACUUCAAGAUCGGAGCUUGUCGGCAUGGAGACCGAUGCUCAAGGCUCCAUACCAAACCAAGCAUCAGCCCUACCCUAUUGCUGUCCAACAUGUACCAGCGUCCCGAUAUGAUCACUCCAGGUGUUGAUCCUCAGGGUCAGCCCCUUGACCCUAGCAAAAUCCAGGAUCACUUCGAGGAUUUUUAUGAAGAUCUGUUUGAAGAGCUGGGAAAAUAUGGAGAGAUUGAAAGCUUAAACAUAUGUGAUAAUUUGGCUGACCAUAUGGUGGGGAAUGUAUACGCACAGUUUAGGGAAGAAGAACAUGCUGCAGCUGCUCUUCAGAAUCUAAGUGGAAGAUUUUACGCAGGCCGCCCCAUUAUUGUGGACUUCUCUCCAGUGACAGAUUUUCGUGAAGCUACGUGUAGGCAGUAUGAAGAAAAUGUAUGCAAUAGAGGGGGUUAUUGCAACUUCAUGCAUCUUAAAAAGAUUAGCAAAGAGUUGAGGAGGCAGUUAUUUGGGAGACGUAGGAGAAGUCGAAGCAGAAGCCGUAGUCCUCAAAGGAAUCGGAAUUAUGACGAGCGUCCACAAGGUGGUGGUCGUGGUUCUGGGAGAAGAGGAGGUGGUUACUCUGAUCAUCGUAGCCAUGACAGUAGGGGCAGGAGGCCGAGAAGUAGGAGUCCUGGACGAAGAGGAGCGGGGCGUAGCAGAAGCCCUGGAGGGAAGAGAAACCGAAGUCCAGUUAGGGAAGGGAGUGCUGAAAGAAGGGCAAAGAUCGAACAAUGGAACAGAGAAAAAGAACAAUCAAAAACAGGUCCUAAAACUGCUUCCAGUAACGAAAAUAAUGAUGGCAUCAAUGAUGAUGGUGCUCCACAGAAUGGAGACCAUUACUAUGAACCGCAUCAGGAGAAGCAGCCGCAGCAAGAUGAUGGAGGUUAUGAUUACUGAUCAAAGUGGAUUUGUCUGGAGUACAGGGUACAGGUUGACCGGCCAAAUCUUAAUUUCUACUUUUCUCCUCGUUACCCCCCUUUCCUUUUUAAGGAAAUUGAAUAAAGAUUACAGGGGAAGACCACGAGAGGAUCUCUCACUAGCUGCUUAUUCCCUGAAUGCAUACAUAAUACAUCAUCCUUCUCUUUUCCUAUGGCCAAGUUAUCCAGGUUGUAUUUAUACUUUAAGAGCAGAUGGGGGGCUGUGAACAUGUUUUGCAGGUUCAGGUCAAGGAUGGGUCCUUAUUUUUUGCCGUUUACCCUUAUAUUUUUAUACAGGUCGUCUUCUCCUUCUCCAUCUCCAUCUCCAUCUCGAGGGCGCGUUGAAAGUGAUCGACCACCAGAUGGGUUCCAUUUGUGGUGUAGCAGCAAGCGAUUACAAGUUAAUUAGCGUAUUGCGAAUAUUUUGUUGUUGAUGUUUCUGAGGACUUGUAUGUUAUUUGCUUCAUUUCAAUCAACAAUUUAUAUGUAUGUGAUGAUGGGGAACAAUUUUACUAUUAAAUUCACUGCUCAAUUUCAGUUGUUUUA